rnacentral:rRNA from 1 species
CGGCCCAUCCCACAAGCAGCUGACGGUACUUAGUGCAUCGCCGAGGAUGGCUUUUGUUCAGUGUAAGGAUCUGGAUGAAUAAGGGGAGGGCAAGACUGGUGUCAGCCGCCGCGGUAAUACCAGCUCCCCGAGUGGUGGGGACGAUUAUUUGGCCUAAAGCGUCCGUAACCGGCCCAGUAAGUCUUCGGUUAAAUUCGGUGAUUUAAUCAUCGAACUGCCGGAGAUACUGCUAGGCUAGGGGGCGGGAGAAGCCGACGGUAGUCUAGGGGUAGGGGUGAAAUCCUAUAAUCCCUGGAGGACCACCAGUGGCGAAGGCGGUCGGCUAGAACGCGCCCGACGGUGAGGGACGAAAGCUGGGGGAGCGAACCGGAUUAGAUACCCGGGUAGUCCCAGCUGUAAACGAUGCAGGCUAGGUGUUGGAACGGCUACGAGCCGUCCCAGUGCCGCAGGGAAGCUAUUAAGCCUGCCGCCUGGGGAGUACGGUCGCAAGGCUGAAACUUAAAGGAAUUGGCGGGGGAGCACCACAAGGGGUGAAGCCUGCGGUUUAAUUGGAGUCAACGCCGGGAAACUUACCGGGGGAGACAGCAGAAUGAAGGUCAGAUUAAAGGUCUUACCAGACAAGCUGAGAGGAGGCGCAUGGCCGUCGCCAGUUCGUGCCGUGAGGUGUCCUGUUAAGUCAGGCAACGAACAAGACCCCUACUCUUAGUUGCUACUGGGGAAACCUAGGCACACUAAGAGACCGCCGUCGAUAAGCGGAGGAAGGCAGGGGCCACGGCAGGUCAGUAUGCCCCGAAUCCUCCGGGCCACACGCGGGCUGCAAUGGCUGGACAAUGGGCUCCAACCCCGAAAGGGGAAGGUAAUCUCGAAACCCAGCCGCAGUUGGAAUCGAGGGCUGAAACCCGCCCUCGUGAACCAUGAAUCCCUAUAAUCGCGCGCACCCGCCGU